rnacentral:rRNA from 1 species
UACGGAGGGGACUAGCGUUGUUCGGAAUUACUGGGCGUAAAGCGCACGUAGGCGGAUUGUUAAGUCAGGGGUGAAAUCCCGAGGCUCAACCUCGGAACUGCCUUUGAUACUGGCAAUCUCGAGUCCGGAAGAGGUGAGUGGAAUUCCCAGUGUAGAGGUGAAAUUCGUAGAUAUUGGGAAGAACACCGGUGGCGAAGGCGGCUCUCUGGACCGAUACUGACGCUGAGGCGCGAAAGCGUGGGGAGCAAACAGG